rnacentral:rRNA from 1 species
CAGCAGCCGCGGUAAUACCGGCGGCUCGAGUGGUGGCCACUAUUACUGGGCUUAAAGCGUUCGUAGCUGGUUUGUUAAGUCUCUGGGGAAAUCUUCCGGCUUAACCGGAAGGCGUCUCAGGGAUACUGGCAGACUAGGGACCGGAAGAGGUGAGAGGUACUCCAGGGGUAGGAGUGAAAUCCUGUAAUCCUUGGGGGACCACCUGUGGCGAAGGCGUCUCACCAGGACGGCUCCGACAGUGAGGGACGAAAGCUGGGGGAGCAAACCGGAUUAGAUACCCGGGUAGUCCCAGCCGUAAACGAUGUGCAUUAGGUGUAUCGGUGACCACGAGUCACCGAGGUGCCGAAGAGAAAUCGUGAAAUGCACCGCCUGGGAAGUACGGUCGCAAGGCUGAAACUUAAAGGAAUUGGCGGGGGAGCACCACAACAGGUGGAGCCUGCGGUUUAAUCGGACUCAACGCCGGGAAACUCACCAGAUAAGACAGCUGAAUGAUAGUCGGGCUGAAGACUCUACUUGACUAGCUGAGAGGUGGUGCAUGGCC